UGGGAAAGCUCUUUAUUGGUCAUCAUUGUUUAAAAUGCAACAGAGUUACAUGCUUUUACAUGUCACACACAACAAAGGGUUUCAGUUUUUAUUAUCACUAAUGUUUAUAGGUACGUAGUAGUCUUUAGUAACCAAGUAUGCAUAGACAAAAACCAAAAGUUAAAAAUAUUUUAUAAUAACUGUAAACAACUAAUUGUUUUCUUUUGAAAAAGCCUUUUGAUGGAAAUGUUCUACCAGUAACAUGCAGAAAUAGAUCUGUGGUAGGUAGAUAGAUAGAUAGAUAGAUAGGUAGGUAGGUAGGUAAAGGUAGGUAGGUAGGUAGGUAGGUAGGUAGGUAGGUAGGUAGGUAGGUAAGAUAGGUAAGAUAGGUAGGUAGGUACACUCUUAGAAAAAAAGGUGCUAUCUAGAACCUUAAAGGGGACUUUGGGUGUCCCCAUAGGAGAACCAUUUGAAUAACCAUUUUUGGUUGCAGGUAAAAUGCUUUGGGGUUCAAUGUAGAACCAUUUCUACAGAGGCUUCCCUUUUGGAACCCUUUUUUCUAAGAAUGUGGGUAGGGAAGGUAGGUAGGGUUGGGAAGGUAGGUAAGGUAGGUAAGGUAGGGAAGGUAGGUAAGGUAGGGAAGGUAGGUAGGGUUGGGAAGGUAGGUAAGGUAGGUAAGGUAGGGAAGGUAGGUAAGGUAGGGAAGGUAGGUAGGGUUGGGAAGGUAGGGAAGGUAGGGAAGGUAGGUAAGGUAGGGAAGGUAGGUAAGGUAGGUAAGGUAGGGAAGGUAGGGAAGGUGGGUAAGGUAGGGAAGGUAGGGAAGGUUGUUAAGGUAGGGAAGGUAGGGAAGGUAGGUAAGGUAGGGAAGGUAGGUAGGGUUGGGAAGGUAGGUAAAGGUAGGUAAGGUAGGUAAGGUAGGGAAAGGUAGGUAGGGUUGGGAAGGUAGGUAAGGUAGGGAAGGUAGGGAAGGUAGGGAAGGUAGGUAGGGAAGGUAGGGAAGGUAGGUAAGGUAGGGAAGGUAGGUAAGGUAGGUAAGGUAGGGAAGGUAGGGAAGGCAGGGAAGGUUGUUACGGUAGGGAAGGUAGGGAAGGUAGGUAAGGUAGGGAAGGUAGGUAGGGUUGGGAAGGUAGGGAAGGUAGGUAGGUAAGGUAGGUAAGGUAGGGAAGGUAGGUAGGGUUGGGAAGGUAGGUAAAGGUAGGGAAAGUAGGGAAGGUAGGUAGGGUUGGGAAGGUAGGUAAGGUAGGUAAGGUAGGGAAGGUAGGUAAGGUAGAUAAGGUAGGGAAGGUAGGGAAGGUAGGGAAGGAAGGUAGGGAAGGUAGGGAAGGUAGGUAAGGAAGGUAGGGAAGGUAGGUAAGGUAGGAAGGUAGGUAAGGUAGGUAAGGUAGGGAAGGUAGGGAAGGUAGGUAAGGUAGGGAAGGUAGGGAAGGUAGGUAGGUAGGGAAGGUAGGUAGGGUUGGGAAGGUAGGGAAGGUAGGGAAGGUAGGUAGGGUUGGGAAGGUAGGUAAGGUAGGGCAGGUAGGGAAGGUAGAGAAGGUAGGUAGGGUUGGGAAGGUAGGGAAGGUAGGUAAGGUAGGGAAGGUAGGUAAGGUAGGUAAGGUAGGUAAGGUAGGUAAGGUAGGGAAGGUAGGUAAGGUAGGUAAGGUAGGGAAGGUAGGUAGGGUUGGGAAGGUAGGGAAGGUAGGUAAGGUAGGGAAGGUAGGUAAGGUAGGGAAGGUAGGGCAGGUAGGGAAGGUAGGUAGGGUUGGGAAGAUAGGGAAGGUAGGGAAGGUAGGUAGGGUUGGCUGGUUGGUUGGUUAUUUGGGAAAGGGGUAGGUGUGGUUUCAGGUAGGUAGAGUGGGCUGGUUGGUUAUUUGAGAAAGGGGUGGGUGAGGUUUCAGGAAUGGUAGAGUGGGCUGGUUGGUUAUUUGAGAAAGGGGUGGGUGGGGUUUCAGGUAGGUAGAGUGGGCUGGUUGGUUAUUUGAGAAAGGGGUGGGUGGGGUUUCAGGAAUGGUAGAGUGGGCUGGUUGGUUAUUUGAGAAAGGGGUGGGUGGGGUUUCAGGAAUGGUAGAGUGGGCUGGUUGGUUAUUUGAGAAAGGGGUGGGUGGGGUUUCAGGAAUGGUAGAGUGGGCUGGUUGGUUAUUUGAGAAAGGGGUGGGUGGGGUUUCAGGUAGGUAGAGCUGGCUGGUUGGUUAUUUGAGAAAGGGGUGGGUGGGGUUUCAGGUAGGUAGAGUGGGCUGGUUGGUUAUUUGAGAAAGGGGUGGGUGGGGUUUCAGGUAGGUAGAGCUGGCUGGUUGGUUAUUUGGGAAAGGGGUGCGUGGAGUUUCUUAGUAGUAGUACUAAUGGUGCGAAAGGUAAAUCAUGAACGCUCGUAAAUCUCGCAGUACUGUGGUAGCCCAGUUCAGGUGGAACAUGAGAUUGACCUGCCUCUUCUUCUCUCUUUACAUGUCCUAAAGUU